rnacentral:lncRNA from 1 species
UCCCACAUCGGUUGUGAGUCAGAGGUACUCUGUCUUAUAUAAGAUGGAAGAUCCUGUCUCCCUCAAGAGGUGCCUUUUGGAGCAAAAUCUAAGGAAUAAACCGUGAAGCCCGACAACCGCAAGCGUAUCAACUACGGUUCAAGGGCCACAAGCCUAUAAGCUAUGGUAUGUAUGCGGCUAAAAUGAACAAUAUCUCUUGCUGUGAUGAGCCCUCCGUCUGUAUGAACCCCGG